AUUGAACGCUAGCGGCAUGCCUUACACAUGCAAGUCGAACGGAGUGGCAAUCGGGUACGUAAGGUAUCGGAACGUGCCCAGUACCGGGGGAUAACUACGAGAAAUCGUAGCUAAUACCGCAUACUCUUGCCGCGACCGAUACCGCAUUGGCUAGUUGUGGGGGUAACGGAUAACAAAGGCGAAGAUCCGUAGCUGGUUUGAGUGGACGACCAGCCACACUGGUACUGGGAAACGGCCCAGACUCCUACGGGAGGCAGCAGUGGGGAAUGUUGGACAAUGGGGGAAACCCUGAUCCAGCAAUCCCGCGUGUGUGAUGAAGGCCUUCGGGUUGUAAAGCACUUUUGGCAGGAAGGCGGUACCUGCAGAAGAAGCACCGGCUAACUACGUGCUAGCAGCCGCGGUAAUAC
rnacentral:rRNA from 1 species